GCACCAUUAGCGCAACUGGAUAGAGCGCUUGAUUACGAAUCAAGAGGUUAUAGGUUCGAGCCCUAUAUGGUGCA
rnacentral:tRNA from 2 species